rnacentral:rRNA from 1 species
UCCAAUGCCAAAUUGGUCAACAUCGCCCAGACCUAUUGGCCUCUGAAGCUAAGCAGGGAUGCGCACGGUCACUACUUGGAUGGGGGACCUCAUGGGAAAGCUAGAUUGCUGCCGGAA